rnacentral:misc_RNA from 1 species
GAUGAAGAACGUAGCGAAAUGCGAUAAGUAAUGUGAAUUGCAGAAUUCAGUGAAUCAUCGAAUCUUUGAACGCACCUUGCGCCCUUUGGCCAUUCCGAAGGGCAUGCCUGUUUGAGUAUCAUGAACACCUCAACUCUUCAUGGUUUUCCAUGAUGAGCUUGGACUUUGGGGGUCUUGCUGGCCUGUGGGUCGGCUCCUCUCAAAUGAAUCAGCUUGCCGGUUUUUGGUGGGCAUCACAGGUGUGAUAACUAUCUACGCUUGUGGUUUUCCACCAGGGUAACCUUCAGCAGUGGAGGUUCACUGGAGCUUACAAAUGUCUCUCCUCUGUGAGGACAGCCCUUUGAAUGUUUGAUCUCAAAUCAGGUAGGACUACCCGCUGAACUUAACCAUAUCAAUAAGCGGAGGA